rnacentral:tRNA from 1 species
GAGGGUCUAGCUCAGGGGUAGAGUGUGUGCUUAGCAGGCAUGAGGUCCUGGGUUCAAUCCCCAGUGCCUCCG